UGGCCGCGGGAUUCAGCAGCCGCGGUAAUACGUAGGGGGCAAGCGUUGUCCAGAAUUAUUGGGCGUAAAGCGCGCGCAGGCGGCUUCUUAAGUCAGGUGUGAAAGCCCACGGCUCAACCGUGGAGGGCCACCUGAAACUGGGAAGCUUGAGUGCAGGAGAGGAGAGCGGAAUUCCACGUGUAGCGGUGAAAUGCGUAGAGAUGUGGAGGAACACCCGUGGCGAAGGCGGCUCUCUGGCCUGUAACUGACGCUGAGGCGCGAAAGCGUGGAGAGCGAACAGGAUUAGAUACCCUGGUAGUCCACGCCGUAAACGAUGAGUGCUAGGUGUUGGGGACUCCAAUCCUCAGUGCCGCAGCUAACGCAAUAAGCACUCCGCCUGGGGAGUACGGCCGCAAGGCUGAAACUCAAAGGAAUUGACGGA
rnacentral:rRNA from 1 species